GCAAGUCUGGUGCCAGCAGCCGCGAUAAUUCCAGCUCCAAUAGCGUAUAUUAAAGUUGUUGCAGUUAAAAAGCUCGUAGUUGAACUUUGGGCCUGGGCGGACGGUCUACCUAUGGUAAGCACUGUUGCGGCCGGGUCUUUCCUUCUGGCUAGCCCUCGGGCGAACCAGGACGAUUACUUUGAGGAAAUUAGAGUGUUCAAAGCAGGCCUUUGCUCGGAUAUAUUAGCAUGGAAUAAUAGAAUAGGACGCAUGGUUCUAUUUUGUUGGUUUCUAGGACCAUCGUAAUGAUUAAUAGGGACGGUCGGGGGCAUCAGUAUUCAGUCGUCAGAGGUGAAAUUCUUGGAUUGACUGAAGACUAACUACUGCGAAAGCAUUUGCCAAA
rnacentral:rRNA from 1 species